AGCUUUUUGCAGUGGCAAUAUUGUAGCCAAUGAGGUUUAUCCAAGGCCCAAUUAUUGCUAAUUGAAAGUAUAGACAGAUCAGG
ensembl:snRNA U4 U4 spliceosomal RNA